GACGAACGCUGGCGGCGUGCUUAACACAUGCAAGUCGAGCGGAAAGGCCCUGCUUUUGUUGGGUGCUCGUGUGGCGAACGGGUGAGUAACACGUGAGUAACCUGCCCUUGAAUUUGGGGUAAAUUCAGGGGAAUGGGGAUAAUACCGGAUAGGAGCUCCUGAUGCGUGGUGGGGGUUGGAAAAUUUCGGCCGUGCGGGCUGGAAUCGCUGGUUAUCCGCUUGUUUGUGGGGUAGGGGCUUACAAGGGCUGUGACGGCUAGGCGGCCUGAGAGCGUGACCGGCCACAUGGGGACUGAGAGACGGCCCAGACUCCUACGGGAGGCAGCAGUGGGGAAUAUUGCACAAUGGGCGGAAGCCUGAUGCAGCAACGCCGCGUGCGGGAUGACGGCCUUCGGGUGGUAAACCGCUUUCGCCGGUGACGAAGCGUGAGUGACGGUAAUGGGUAAAGAAGCAACGGCUAACUACGUG
rnacentral:rRNA from 1 species